UACGGAGGGAGCUAGCGUUGUUCGGAAUUACUGGGCGUAAAGCGCACGUAGGCGGCUUUGUAAGUUAGAGGUGAAAGCCCGGGGCUCAACUCCGGAACUGCCUUUAAGACUGCAUCGCUUGAAUCCAGGAGAGGGUGGUGGAAUUCCCAGUGUAGAGGUGAAAUUCGUAGAUAUUGGGAGGAACACCGGUGGCGAAGGCGACCACCUGGACGGAAACUGACGCUGAGGCGCGAAAGCGUGGGUAGCAAACAGG
rnacentral:rRNA from 1 species